CUACCAUUAUUUGAACUUUAUGAUA
rnacentral:piRNA from 1 species